rnacentral:rRNA from 1 species
UUAAAGUUGUUGCAGUUAAAAAGCUCGUAGUUGAACCUUGGGCCUGGCUGGUCGGUCCGCCUCACCGCGUGCACUGGUCCGGCCGGGCCUUUCCUCCUGGGGAGCCGCAUGCCCUUCAUUGGGUGUGUCGGGGAACCAGGACUUUUACUUUGAAAAAAUUAGAGUGUUCAAAGCAGGCCUAUGCUCGAAUACAUUAGCAUGGAAUAAUA